rnacentral:rRNA from 1 species
CCUACGGGUGGCUGCAGUGGGGAAUAUUGCACAAUGGGCGCAAGCCUGAUGCAGCCAUGCCGCGUGUGUGAAGAAGGCCUUCGGGUUGUAAAGCACUUUCAGCGGGGAGGAAGGCGGUGAGGUUAAUAACCUCAUCGAUUGACGUUACCCGCAGAAGAAGCACCGGCUAACUCCGUGGCAGCAGCCGCGGUAAUACGGAGGGUGCAAGCGUUAAUCGGAAUUACUGGGCGUAAAGCGCACGCAGGCGGUCUGUCAAGUCGGAUGUGAAAUCCCCGGGCUCAACCUGGGAACUGCAUUCGAAACUGGCAGGCUAGAGUCUUGUAGAGGGGGGUAGAAUUCCAGGGGUAGCGGUGAAAUGCGUAGAGAUCUGGAGGAAUACCGGUGGCGAAGGCGGCCCCCUGGACAAAGACUGACGCUCAGGUGCGAAAGCGUGGGGAGCAAACAGGAUUAGAUACCGUGUAGUC